rnacentral:misc_RNA from 1 species
GAAGUCGUUACUUUAACCCUUGUGGAGAAGGACGCCAAAGGUGGGGCUGAUGACUGGGGUGAAGUCGUAACAAGGUAACCGUACCGGAAGGUGCGGCUGGAUCACCUCCUAACAGGGAGACAAUUAAUUGAUUGUGAUGUCUAAGUUAUUUAUUCUUAGGCCGCAAUCCUGUCACCUUAAGGUCGAUCGGUACCUCAGAUUUUUGAAUUAGUUUUAUAAUUGAUUCUUUGAUUUCAGUUCCUAAACUUGUCUAGGUCACACCCAACAAAGGUUUCUCCUGGGCCAUUAGCUCAGGUGGUUAGAGCGCACCCCUGAUAAGGGUGAGGUCCCUGGUUCAAGUCCAGGAUGGCCCAUUCGUUGUUGGGGGUAUAGCUCAGUUGGUAGAGCGCCUGCUUUGCAAGCAGGAUGUCAGCGGUUCGAGUCCGCUUACCUCCACUGAAAACUAUCCUGAUAACUAAAUUCUGGAGAAAAAAUUGUAGAUGUGGCUUAGAAUUGUCUAUUUGAAUAGAACCUAGCUUCUUGUCAUCUUUUUAUAGUUGAUAACAUGCUGGGCUCGCAUGGAUUAUUUCCAUGAGAAUUCAGUAGAACCUUGAAAACUGCAUAGAUAAGAAAGAAUAAAGCAUCUCAUGGAUGCAUAAUUCUGUUUUUAUAAUUUAGCCUUAAAACUAAAUUAUUUAAUUCUAGAAUUCAUGUUUAAUUCUUGAGUAAAAGCCGAGCACAAUUGAUUUUGUGAUUGUAUUUAAGGUCAAGCUACAAAGGGCUCAUGGCGGAUACCUUGGCACACAGAGGCGAUGAA